UUCUGGGAGGAUUGACCGAUUGAGAGCUCUUUCUUGAUGAGGAGGAUGGUAGUGCACAUCCGUUUUUAGUUGCUGGAGCGAUUUGUUUUGUUAAUUCCGAUAACGAACGAGACUCUAGUCUAUUGAAUGGGUGCGUGGUUCUCUGCCCCUCGCACCCUUCUCAGAGGAACAAGCGGCUCCUAGCCGCACGAAACAGAGCGAUAACAGGUCUGUGAUGCUCUUAGAU
rfam:Ixodes scapularis strain Wikel colony gcontig_1108378327780, whole genome shotgun sequence.